AAAGGAAAAAUUAAUGAGUAUAUAACUAUAAAAAAAAUUUUUAAUAUAAAUAUUUAAUGGGGGUUAAAGUAUUUUAUAGAAAAAAAUUUAAAAAUUUAUAGUAAAAUAGUAUUGUGGAAGAAAUUUGAAAAAUUAUGAUUGAAAGAAAUUAUAUAAAAGUAAAUUUAAUUUAUUGUAUCUUGGGUAUCAGAGUUUAUUAAAAAAUAAUUUUGGGGGGAAUUAUUUCGAAUUUUAAAGAGCUAAUUAAUUAAAAAAAAUUAAUAUUAUAUAAUUAUUUUUAAUAAUUAAUUGGAAAUUAAAAGUUAAACGUUUUUAAAGAUAUCUAAUUUUUUUGGAAAAAAAUUUAAUUUUAAAUUAUUUUAGGUUUGUAAUUAAUUUGUUAUUUAUGAAAAAAUUUAAUUAAAUAUUUUAAGGGAUAAGCUUUAAAUUAUAAUUUUAUAAUAAAAUUAAAUUUAAUUGAAAUUUUUAAAAUUUAUAUUUUUUAAAAAUUAUAGUUUAAUUAUAAAUAAUUUCAAUUAUUUAUAAUUUAAUUUUUAUUUAAAUUUUUACAAAAAUAUGAUUUUUAAUUAUUUAAAAAUUAGCAAUAAUGAUAAAAUUAGUAUAUAAUAGUUAUUAAAUUAAAUAAUAAAUUAAAAAAAAAUUAAAAAAAAGGAAUUCGGCAAAAAUUUAUAUUCACUUGUUUAUCAAAAACAUGUCUUUUUGUUAAUAAUUUAAAGUCUAAUCUGCCCACUGAAAAUUAUUUAAAGGGCUGCAGUAUAUUGACUGUACAAAGGUAGCAUAAUCACUAUUCUUUUAAUUGAAGACUUGCAUGAAUGAUUUGAUGAGGUAUAGACUGUCUUUUUUUUAUUAUUAGAAUUUAAUUUUUUAGUUAAAAAGCUAAAAUUUUUUUAAAAGACGAGAAGACCCUAUAGAGUUUAAUUUUUUAAUUUUUAUUAAUAUUUUGUAAAAUUUUUAAUUAGCAUGAAUUAAAAAAUUUUGUUGGGGUGAUAGAAAAAUUUACAAAACUUUUUUUUUGGAAUAAUUGACAUUAAUUUAUGAUUUUUUGAUCCAUAAUUUAUGAUUAAAAGAUUAAAUUACCUUAGGGAUAACAGCGUAAUUUUUUUUUUUAGCACAAAUAAAAAUUAAAGUUUGCGACCUCGAUGUUGGAUUAAGAUAAAAUUUAAAUGUAAAAGUUUAAAAUUUUGAUCUGUUCGAUCAUUAAAAUCUUACAUGAUCUGAGUUCAAACCGGUGUGAGCCAGGUUGGUUUCUAUCUUUAAAUAAUUGAAAUAAUUUAGUACGAAAGGAUCAAUUAUUUUAAAUAAUUUAAUUAGUUAAGAAUAUCAUUAAUUUUUCUU
rnacentral:rRNA from 1 species